rnacentral:rRNA from 1 species
UAGGGAAUCUUCCGCAAUGGACGAAAGUCUGACGGAGCAACGCCGCGUGAGUGAAGAAGGAUUUCGGUUCGUAAAACUCUGUUGUUAGGGAAGAAAAAAUGUAUAGUAACUAUAUACAAAAGAGACGGUACCUAACCAGAAAGCCACGGCUAACUACGUGCCAGCAGCCGCGGUAAUACGUAGGUGGCAAGCGUUGUCCGGAAUUAUUGGGCGUAAAGCGCGCGCAGGUGGUUUAGAAAGUCUGAUGUGAAAGCCCACGGCUCAACCGUGGAGGGUCAUUGGAAACUAAUAAACUUGAGUGCAGGAGAGAAAAGUGGAAUUCCUAGUGUAGCGGUGAAAUGCGUAGAGAUUAGGAGGAACACCGGUGGCGAAAGCGGCUUUCUGGACUGCAACUGACACUGAGGCACGAAAGCGUGGGUAGCAAACAGG